rnacentral:pre_miRNA from 1 species
AUCACCUGGGGAUCUUGUUGAAAUGCAAGUUCUUAUUCAGCAGGUCUGGCUUAGGGCCUGAGAUUCUGCCUUUCCAACCAGUUCCCAGGUGGUGCUGA